CCUACGGGUGGCAGCAGUGAGGAAUAUUGGUCAAUGGGCGAGAGCCUGAACCAGCCAAGUCGCGUGAGGGAAGACGGUCCUAUGGAUUGUAAACCUCUUUUGCCGGGGAGCAAAAAGCGGUACGUGUACCGCACCGAGAGUACCCGUAGAAAAAGCAUCGGCUAACUCCGUGCCAGCAGCCGCGGUAAUACGGAGGAUGCGAGCGUUAUCCGGAUUUAUUGGGUUUAAAGGGUGCGUAGGCGGUCUGUUAAGUCAGCGGUAAAAUUGCGGGGCUCAACCCCGUCGAGCCGUUGAAACUGGUAGACUUGAGUGGGAGAGAAGUACGCGGAAUGCGUGGUGUAGCGGUGAAAUGCAUAGAUAUCACGCAGAACUCCGAUUGCGAAGGCAGCGUACCGGCGCCAGACUGACGCUGAGGCACGAAAGCGUGGGGAUCGAACAGGAUUAGAUACCCUAGUAGUC
rnacentral:rRNA from 1 species